rnacentral:sRNA from 1 species
CUGCCACCCCUCCCCCCACCCGGGCUCGGCGGGGGAGCGACUCAUGGAGCUGCCGUAAGUUUUACCAACAGACUGCAGUUUCUUCACUACCAAAAUGACAUCAUUUUCCACCUCUGCCCAGUGUUCAACAUCUGACAGUGCUUGCAGGAUCUCUCCUGGACAAAUCAAUCAGGUACGACCAAAACUGCCACUUUUGAAGAUUUUGCAUGCAGCAGGUGCGCAAGGUGAAAUGUUCACUGUUAAAGAGGUCAUGCACUAUUUAGGUCAGUACAUAAUGGUGAAGCAACUUUAUGAUCAGCAGGAGCAGCAUAUGGUAUAUUGUGGUGGAGAUCUUUUGGGAGAACUACUGGGACGUCAGAGCUUCUCCGUGAAAGACCCAAGCCCUCUCUAUGAUAUGCUAAGAAAGAAUCUUGUCACUUUAGCCACUGCUACUACAGCAAAGUGCAGAGGAAAGUUCCACUUCCAGAAAAAGAACUACAGAAGACAAUAUCCCCACACUGCCUACCUCAGAGCAUAAAUGCAUACAUUCUAGAGAAGAUGAAGACUUAAUUGAAAAUUUAGCCCAAGAUGAAACAUCUAGGCUGGACCUUGGAUUUGAGGAGUGGGAUGUAGCUGGCCUGCCUUGGUGGUUUUUAGGAAACUUGAGAAGCAACUAUACACCUAGAAGUAAUGGCUCAACUGAUUUACAGACAAAUCAGGAUGUGGGUACUGCCAUUGUUUCAGAUACUACAGAUGACUUGUGGUUUUUGAAUGAGUCAGUAUCAGAGCAGUUAGGUGUUGGAAUAAAAGUUGAAGCUGCUGAUACUGAACAAACAAGUGAAGAAGUAGGGAAAGUAAGUGACAAAAAGGUGAUUGAAGUGGGAAAAAAUGAUGACCUGGAGGAC